UCCCUGAUAGCUCAGUUGGUAAAGCAUCUGCCUGCAAUGCAGGAGACCUCUGUUUGAUUCCCGGGUCAGAAAA
rfam:TPA: Bos taurus chromosome 25, whole genome shotgun sequence.